GCAUUGGUGGUACAGCCGUGAGCAUAACUGCUUUCCAAGCAGUUGACCCAGGUUCAAAUCCCAGCCAAUGCA
rnacentral:tRNA from 1 species